UGUAGUUGGGGUAGGCUGUGUGCUUUUGUUUUUCAAAAAUAGGAUUGGGUAGUUUUACAUGUUCUAUUUUGUGUCUGGCAGCUAAGAGAGAUGCCUUGAUAGCGCCACUGUCAGCCAAGUCCAGCCCCAAGCGAUGUCCAUCAGAGAACUUCUCCACAGCGUUUGGCCCCUCUUCCACCUGGCAACGUCACAGUCACACCUGGUUUGACAUGCGCUUGGACCAAAGGGGACCGAUGCCAUCCUCACCAUCCCACAGUUCUUCUGCCAAAAAGAAGCUCCAGUUCAUGCCCUCACAAGGGCUAGAAGCUAAUUACCAGCCCGGUAACAGUGGAGGGGGAUCGAUCGGCGGC